CCAGACUCCACGGGAGGCAGCAGUGGGGAAUAUUGGGCAAUGGGCGCAAGCCUGACCCAGCAACGCCGCGUGAAGGAAGAAGGCUCUCGGGUUGUCAACUUCUUUUAUCAGGGACGAAGCAAGUGACGGUACCUGAUGAAUAAGCCACGGCUAACUACGUGCCAGCAGCCGCGGUAAUACGUAGGUGGCAAGCGUUAUCCGGAUUUAUUGGGUUUAAAGGGUGCGUAGGCGGCGCUUCAGGUCAGCGGUGAAAUACCGGGGCUCAACCCCGGGGCUGCCGUUGAAACUGGCUGUCUUGAGAUGUCGAGAGGUAUGCGGAAUGCGCAGUGUAGCGGUGAAAUGCUUAGAUAUUGCGCAGAACUCCGAUUGCGAAGGCAGCAUACCGGCGGCGAUCUGACGCUGAGGCACGAAAGCGUGGGUAUCGAACAGGAUUAGAUACCCUUGUA
rnacentral:rRNA from 1 species